rnacentral:snRNA from 1 species
AUGCUCGCUUCGGCAGCACAUACACUAACAUCGGAACGAGACAGAGAAGAUUAGCAUGGUCCCUGUGCAAGGAUGACACGCAAAUUCGUGAUACGUUCAAUAUUUAA